rnacentral:lncRNA from 1 species
AAUACUGAGAACUGGGAUCUAGACAAGACUUCUGCAGAGCUGAAGCAGCAGAAAAAUACACGUAACACUCAUGCAGAAAUUGCCUUCUCCUCAGCAGACUAUGGUAACACUGUUAAGCUAAUACCAACUAUACUGAAAAUAUGUAAAACCAAGUAAACUCAGUUUUGAGUAUUUCUCGUUCCCUGCUACGUCAUCUUGGAUGUUGAGGUGAUAGUGGUGUUUGUUUUUGGUUUUUUUUUGACAAUUUCUUUAUAACAAAGUUUCCUCUGGGUCUUGCUUUUGUGGUUUGAAAUCAGUGCUUUGUGGCCUGCAAUGGCCCAGGGCAAGAUAAAUAAAAGUUGAAGUGUGUUUCGUCAGAGCUGGAUGAUAGUGGUGUCUUUAUCCUUUCCCUUCUCUCUGGCUGUAGAGAAAGGCACAGUGGUGAAAGGGUAUAUUGGGCAGUUCAGUGGUAGAAGACAACAAAUGUGAUGUUUGGUUUUUUUUUUUUUUGCUGUUCUCCCAUAGAGACCUUCAGAGGUAGAUCUGAAAAGCAGCUCAUGGAAAAAUUAGAAGAGCUGUGUGACAGGCAAUCCAGGACGCUGUCUUCACGCUGUAGAUGGCCAUCAGCCAAAAUCUCUGUUCAAGAACAGCAGAAGAACAAGGAUGUUGCCUUCCUCCCAUCUUCACCAAGUUCUCUGAGGAUGGACGCAGUGAGGUUACAGUGCCUGCCAGAGCCUCUAACUGUGUACAUAGAUUUAAGAGAUGCUGAACCACAGAAGUCGGUAACAUUCCCUGAUGAGAAACAGAGUGCAGAUGACAGCUCCACUGAUGAAGAUGAGACUAUGACUGUUAUGGACCAGGAAGAGAGGAAAAGCAGGAAGAAUUGCUCAGGGAAGUGUCAGCUACUGCAACAACUCCGUAGAGUCCGUAAAGAGGCCUCAGAGGUUCUUCACAAAGAAUCUGCCCCAGCUGGAAGACUCAAGGGCAUAAAACAGGAUCCAGAAAGUCUGGAAGAGAUGGAUGCCUUUAAAGUCAGUCGAAAUAAAAAUUUUGAAGUGAGAGAAGGGAUGAAUGAGUUCAUUUCCAGGAAACUGGUGAGGCUGGAGCCAGAAAAAAGAAAUUUCUCCUUGUCAAGCCAGAGAGACAAUGGAAAUGAUAAAGCUGAGAAGGUUCAACAUUCAGGAAAUGCUUCAGAAUCUCCUCUGCCUACAGAAGAAUUUCCAAGGACGGAAGAAAGUAACAGAGAGCUAUCCCAAAAGGAAGAACAGAUGAAAGAGAAACACGUGAAAUGCAGAUUCCAGGAGCAGCUGGAGAGAUGGCAGCCUCAGUCAGUUACUGGAAAGCAGCCCAUGGCAGAGAAAGCACCUGUUUUGUUCCACAUGGAAACCUCUUAUUUGCCAGUUGUUGACAGGUUGCCUGGACCGGACAGUAUGAGAGAUGAAGAGCUGCUGAUGACUGUCUGGCUGUCGAGUUGUGGCCGGGUACCCAGAGAUGAGAGCAGCGGGCGGAUGCACAGCACUGCACCGAGAGCAGCUGCCUUCUACCGUGCCCUUGUGGCAUGGCUUCUAUCUCUGGUACCUCCUGUGAAAAUGGAAGGUGGACCCAAAGCUCCGUUUCAGGCAGUAUGUCUACAGCAGGCCUGGCAGGAGGACGGAUCGGCCCUGUCUGCUUGUGUAAGGCCAACAGAUGAAUCUCCAACCCAGCACUUGAUGCUGAUUAAAGAAAGGUUAAGGAAGAUUAAAGUAAGGAGCAUUUAAAUGUGCUAGUCGUGCAGAACUGCCAUAGGGUGUUACUACUACUUGUCACUAAGAACCAGGCUUGGGUGUGCCUAUUUAAGCUCAAAUCUCAGUGAGAAGGAUAGAAAAGUGUAAAUGCUGCUCUAAAUUAGAAUGAAGCCCAGUACUGUGGGAACUGAAGGACUGCUUGCAGCUAAUUGCCCACUCAGGCUGUCCUUGGUUAUGUGGUGCAGAUGAGAAACCAGCUCUAUACAGCAGAGUCUUUUGUUUCUGCUGCUCAUUAACUGUUAACGUGUUUUUUGGUGGCUGUAACCUCAUGGUGCAAAGAUCUGCCUGGAUCCAGAGGAGACCUAUCUUUGACAUGUAUUAUGCUUUGUGCUGUUAUUUUUUAACCACGUGAAGAGUGUGACUUAUGAGAGGGAAUACUGUCCUGCUAUUCAAGCUCCCAAGAGUCAGGGCCCAGAGAAAGGACCUGGGAUCCUGUUCCUUCUGUCCUGCCAGACUACAGUGUCUGUCUUGCACAACAAAACACCAAGCUGAAAGGUCUAGCACAAGCUGAAAUCUAGCAUGUGUAGGUGGCACGUUGUAACAUAAGGCAUGUUGUGAGCUUGUGUCCUGAAAACAGGGGAGAUUUGAUGUAGCAACUCUGGGCCAUAAUCUGUUGGUUCUGUUUUUCAUCAGAGCUAAUUUGGACAAGACUGAUUGUCUGAACAUCGUGAUGCAUCCGGUUUGUUUUCCUCUUUAAAUACUGCUUGUUAGGUACUGCCCUGAGACCUGCUGUGGCUUUGCUAAUCCUGCCUGGUGCAGACACCUGCCCUAUGUCGUAUUGAUGGGAGAUAUGCCAGGUGUAUUUGGUGAGCAGUGAGCUUUGCAUACCUGUGAUCUCCCACAAGUCACUUGCAUGAGUAAUGUUCCUGUUACUGAAUAAACUUACCCGAGAUGCUUGCCAAGUGCUUUGUUGGGUAUGCAAGUAUCUCCCAGCUCACUCAAAGUAACCUUUGUAGCUUUGGCAAACUGGGGCUGGGUUUUCUAUUCUUACCCAACAUAAUUCUUAAAUGGAAGAAGAGGUAUAAACAUGUUUUAAAAACAUGCUUAAGCUUCCUUUGUUCAGCUGCAGCAAGCAUUCUUUGCUUGCAACUGUCUGCCUCUGAGCAGUGAAGGUUGAAUUUCCCAUGAUGUAUCAUAAAGUAUGACAGCUGUGGCUCCAGUGUCGCACAAGUAAAUGAUUGAUGCUGGCAACAAAUGUCAUGAUUAAAAUACUACUGGAAAAAAAAAAAAAACAAGCCCAAAACAAUAAGCAACUUUUCUGUCAUUGCCCAUCCAUCUGUCGGAGAAAGCUGCAGGGCUAAUGAGAGGGAGCACCCUGCUGGACUGGACAAGGGCUUGAUGUUGGUUGCUGUCUAAGGUGACUGAGCUCAAGAAGCAUUCUGUGAAACAAAGAAAAUGGAGGAACAGAGACUGACCUGCCUUGUUGCUCUCUAAUUUCAAAUGGGGAGUUGGCCAAGGCAUCAAAAUUGUUGAGCACUGAGUGUGCUCAAAGUAUGUAUCCAGUGUCAAGUAAUUGAACGAUCUUCUGAAGCUGCAAGCUCAGGUUGCACCCAGCAUUUGGUUGGAGCUGGGCAGGGUUGUAUCACUGGUUGGCAGAAUGAGCCACGUGGAGUUUCCAGUCCGUGUAUAAAUUGUAAAUGCUGUUUUACUGCCCUGUUUACAUUCAUGGACAGUGCUGCUGAGUUCAGCUGCUAUGGGGGCGAGGUGAAUGUGCCACUCAUUCAAAUGGUGUUGCUCAAAGCAGGACUAUGUGUAACUGAGGUUUUCUCUCAUUAGAAG